AUUUAAGGCGCAUGUGAGAGUGUGGUUUUAGUGUACGUCGUGUGUGUUUGUACGACGAGGGUGCGUGUGGCAAGCUCGCGUCACACCGCUAUAUACGGGCACCAGUGCUGCCGAACACGGUUUUCUGUAGUCAUACCGGAGGACGUUGUCGUCGUUCAAGUAUACGAAGCACGCGUAUGCAUCGAGAACCGCGCGUUUUUUCGCGAUUAAAAUCGUCAAUGGAAGAGAAAAGGAAAUAAAAGUCCCACGGUGGUUUCGUUCAACACUCUUAUCAUCCCUUAUAGGCAUCGUUGAUUAUCAUCGUUACUUUACAAAAUAAAAAUGUUUCUUUAUAUUUUCUUUUUCAAUGAGAUAAAUGGACUAUCGCGAGUGUUCGCGAGAAGCAAGUAGUGUGAAAUGAACCAAGGGGGGUUUGAAGAUAAUCGAUGAAUGUUCGUGAAUACGAUCGGAAUUUCUCGCUAAAUUAGGAAACGAAAAUUAGGCAACGUUCUCCGCCGCUUCCCCCUCCCCUCCCCCCCUCUUUUACUCGCUCGGAAUGUUUCGGAAUCUACGACGUGAUGGAAACAGUCGGAAUUCUACGCUCGCGAAGAGAACGUUCGUUUCCAGCUACGGAGGGUGAAAUCGAUCGAGUAGUAGUAGCGUGCUUCUCUGUCCUCCUGGAAACGUGGAAAUGCCGAGGGAAAAUAUGUCGGGAAGGUCGGCGGCCGGUUAUCGCGUAGCCGGUUACACUAACCGGUUGCUGGUUCUCGUAAACUGAACCCUUUCUCUAAGCGUGAUUUCUUAUUCGCAAGAAUAACGAUUAUUCUUUUUCAUCUUAACGUGUUAUGUUAGUUAAUGUUUCAUCUAAACGUGUUAAUUAACGUGGUGUGUCAGAAUCUUUCAAUUUUUGCUUUGAAAACAACUCGUUCGUACCAUUUUUUUGGACAACUAGUGCGAGUUAACGUUCGUUCGUUUUAAUUCGUGGGGAAACCAACGUGACCAAAAAAUUCAUCUCUCUCUCUCUCUCUCUCUUUCUCUCUCUCUAAUUUAUCUACUUUACUUACUUUUUAUUUUCCCCCAGUUUAAGUAAAUCAGCUUUUGAGGAGGAUCAACCUGUGUGAAAACAUCGUUGCAACGAGAAAAAGAAGAAGAAGAAGAAGCAUAAUCAAAUUAAAGUGAACUCGACAAAAUUUCUUUAAUUUUCUUCUAUAACGUGAUAACAGACUCUCAUCGACGUUUAUCAACUUUAUUAUCCAUUUUUCUUCUUCUUCUUAUUAUCAUCAUAACUCGUGUUUCAUCUUUAAACGUGUGGAUCAUACUCAGUCACGAAAUUGCAUUCACGAAAAAGCUGGAAAAGAAGAAGAAGAAGAAGAAGAAGAAAGAAGAAGAUACGUUAAAGUGGACAAAAAAGAAAGAAGAAGAAGAAGAAGAAGCAAAAGAAGAAGAAGAAGAAGCAAAGAAAUCUUUCUUUCUCAUGAAAAGAUGGAUACUAGAGUGGAGGAUAGUGGAUAUAUCACGUGACAUAUCGACCCGAAAGCGAGAGGAUUUAAAUUGAAUUUCAUUCUGGGCGCACGCGAAUUCGCGACGACACGGUUUUACGUGCAUGUGAAGAGAAGCGGGCGAGCGCGUGCGCCUGUAUGUUUUAUCGUGUGUUAUCAUUAUCUAUUCUUCGAUGACCUAACGUGAAGUGAGAAGUAAAAUAAAAAA
rnacentral:lncRNA from 1 species